rnacentral:rRNA from 1 species
GUGGGGAGGCGAGCGUUGUCCGGAUUUAUUGGGCGUAAAGAGCGCGUAGGCGGUCUGCUAAGUUAGGGUGUGAAAUCUCCCGGCUCAACUGGGAGGCUGCACUUAAUACUAGCGGGCUAGAGGGAGUAGAGGAAAGCGGAAUUCCCGGUGUAGCGGUGAUAUGCGUAGAUAUCGGGAGGAACACCAGUGGCGAAGGCGGCUUUCUGGGCUCUGCCUGACGCUGAGGCGCGAAAGCGUGGGGAGCGAACCGGAUUAGAUACCCGGGUAGUCCACGCCGUAAACGUUGGACACUAGGCGUGGGGGGUAUCGACCCCCUCUGUGCCGCAGCUAACGCAUUAAGUGUCCCGCCUGGGGAGUACGGCCGCAAGGCUA